UUUAAAAGGAAGCAGUAACCUCUUUGUAAUUUUUUCAAAUUUGAAAGAUCAAAGAAACCCCAAACACCAUUUCCUUUGAUAAGGUUAAAUUAUCUAGUAAUAUUAAACAUUUUUUUUUAUUAAAAUUUAAAAAAAUUAUACAUCUCUGAUUUGUAUUAUGCUAAUUUGAUAUCCUCCUACAUUUAUUUAGUUGGUAUGGUUUAUUUUCAAACAAACAAAAUAUAAACAACAUUGUUUUAAACAUUAUUUUGUAAUAAGGAAUGCCAAUAAAUAAAUAAAUAAACACACAGAAACACUAACAAAAUUUAACACAUCUAUGAAAAGAAUGUCAAAUAAACUACAAACGAAAAACAAAACUUGGCUAUGAUUUGCCAACAAAAAAUAUACAUCACAUUUUUAACAGCAUAACUACAUGAUAUGGACAUAGUCACUACUAGAGAGAUUAGACACAUAUAACAAUGAAAAAAUACUUCAAAUAAUUUGUAAUCUUAGAAAAGGUGUGAUUGUUAACAUAAAAAAUUAUAAAAAUGUGUAAGUUACCUGGGUAAUACAAAUUUCUACUUACUUCAAGGUCUCAAACAAUAUAGUACAACCUUACAAUGUAACCUCUACAAACUUCAAGGUCUCAAACAAUAUAGUACAGCCUUACAAUGUAACCUCUACAAAAUUGAAGGUCUCAAACAAUAUAGUACAGCCUUACAAUGUAACAUCUACAAAAUUGAAGGUCUCAAACAAAAUAGUACAGCCUUACAAUGUAAGCUCUACAAACUUCAAGGUCUCAAACAAUAUAGUACAGCCUUACAAUGUAACCUCUACAAAAUUGAAGGUCUCAAACAAUAAAGUACAGCCUUACAAUGUAACCUCUACAAAAUUGAAGGUCUCAAACAAUAUAGUACAGCCUUACAAUGUAACAUCUACAAAAUUCAAGGUCUUAACCAAUAUAGUACAGCCUUACAAUGUAAACCACUUGUUUUGUAACCCAUGCACAUGUAUAACUUCUAUAUAAAUUCUUUGUAUAUCUAAGGAAUAUAAGACAUACAUUUAUUAUUCAUAUAAGAAUGAACAUGUUAUCUUUAGUUCCAAAGUGGGCUUGCAUGUUUAAUGUUGCAACUCUGGCAAAAUUGACCUUAUAUGGUUUGGCUGUUCUAUUUCUGACAGCUGUUUUGUUGUUGUUGCUUCUAAAUGUUUGGAUACAGUUCAUUCAUUUUUAUUUUUGGGAUACCAAUUUUUCGUGGAUUUUGUGGGUAUUGCUUAACCACAGAUUUGAAUGUUAAAUGUAGUUCAAAUUUUCUAUAGGC